GACGAACGCUGGCGGCGUGCUUAACACAUGCAAGUCGAACGGAAAGGCCCUGCUUUUGUGGGGUGCUCGAGUGGCGAACGGGUGAGUAACACGUGAGUAACCUGCCCUUGACUCUGGGAUAACUUCAGGAAACUGGGGCUAAUACCAGAUAGGAGCUCCUGCUGCAUGGUGGGGGUUGGAACGUUUCGGCGGUUGGGGAUGGACUCGCGGCUUAUCAGCUUGUUGGUGGGGUAGUGGCUUACCAAGGCUUUGACGGGUAGCCGGCCUGAGAGGGUGACCGGCCACAUAGGGACUGGGAUACGGCCCAGACGCCUACGGGAGGCAGGAGUGGGGAAUAUUGCACAAUGUGCGGAGUCCUGAUGCAGCAACGCCGCGUGCGGGAUGACGGCCUUCGGGUUGUAAACCGCUUUCGCCUGUGACGAGGCGUGAGUGACGUAAAUGGGGAAAGAAGCACCGGCUAACUACGU
rnacentral:rRNA from 1 species